rnacentral:rRNA from 1 species
AUGGCGUGCGCCAGAAAUCUAGCAUCCCAAGGUCAAAAGAUUAAAUUUUUAGGCGCCGACGAGGAGCUUCUGGGCGGCGGAGGCGCUGGAUCCGCGUGCGUCGACGCCGCCGACGAAGCGACAUGGAUCCGGGCGGGAUGCUGCUGGAGGACUUCGGCAGCGGGUGGACCUGACGCGCGCAUCCGCGAGGUGCUGGCCAACUACCAGGAGGGCACCACCGCGCUGCGCGAGCUCAUCCAAAACGCCGACGAUGCCGGGGCCUCGCGGGUCCGCGUCUGCCUCGACCUCCGCGCCCACGGCGCCUACUCGCUGCUCGCCCCGGCGCUCGCGCAGUGGCAGGGUCCCGCCCUGCUCGCGCACAACGACGCCGCCUUCACCGACGACGACUUUGCCAGCAUCUCCCGCAUCGGCGGCAGCAAGAAGACGGGACGCUUCGCCGACAGCAGAGGAGUAUCGGGAGAGGAGAUGAACCUGGGGCGAGCAAAAUUGAGUUCAGCACCAGCGCCGAGUACUCCAGCGGCAGUAGUGCCUGAGCACCCAGCUCGCCUACACCUCGGCACGGGCGAGGAAGAGCUCAGCACCAGCUCACCUCCACCUGGGCGGGGGCGAGGAAGAGCCCAACACCAUCUGGGGAGGAAGAUCCUGGGCGAGGGGAUCCUGGACGUGGGAGAGGAGGAGAUCCUGGGCGUGGGAGAGGAGGAGGACAUGCUGGUGCAGGGGGCGAAGGUGGGGGGCGGAGGUGGUGGAGGAUUCAAAAUUAGAGAGCAACGGGGAGCUUGA